UAGGCAAAUGAUCAAGUAGACCAAGCCCCCUUUACAAGCCCGGGAAAACAUAACGCCAGUGAUCAACACGCCUUCGGUUGGGGCGACCGCGGAGGAUAAAACAGCCUCCGAGUGGAAUGGGAAAACCCUUAAGCUAAGAAAAACAAGUCUAGGCAUCAAAAAAUUUGACCAAACAUGACCCAGGAGAACCCUGAUUAACGAACCAAGUUACCCUAGGGAUAACAGCGCAAUCCCCUCCCAGAGUCCAUAUCGACGAGGGGGUUUACGACCUCGAUGUUGGAUCAGGGCUUCCUAAUGGUGCAGCUGCUAUUAAG
rnacentral:rRNA from 1 species